CCUACGGGGGGCAGCAGUGGGGAAUAUUGGACAAUGGGGGCAACCCUGAUCCAGCCAUGCCGCAUGUGUGAAGAAGGCCCUCGGGUUGUAAAGCACUUUCAGUGAGGAAGAACGCCUGGUGGUUAAUACCCAUCAGGAAAGACAUCACUCACAGAAGAAGCACCGGCUAACUCCGUGCCAGCAGCCGCGGUAAUACGGAGGGUGCGAGCGUUAAUCGGAAUUACUGGGCGUAAAGCGCGCGUAGGUGGCUUGAUAAGCCGGUUGUGAAAGCCCCGGGCUCAACCUGGGAACGGCAUCCGGAACUGUCAAGCUAGAGUGCAGGAGAGGAAGGUAGAAUUCCCGGUGUAGCGGUGAAAUGCGUAGAGAUCGGGAGGAAUACCAGUGGCGAAGGCGGCCUUCUGGACUGACACUGACACUGAGGUGCGAAAGCGUGGGUAGCAAACAGGAUUAGAUACCCUAGUAGUC
rnacentral:rRNA from 1 species